rnacentral:rRNA from 1 species
UACGUAGGGUGCAGGCGUUAAUCGGAAUUACUGGGCGUAAAGCGUGCGCAGGCGGUUGUGCAAGACAGAUGUGAAAUCCCCGGGCUCAACCUGGGAAUUGCAUUUGUGACUGCACGGCUAGAGUGUGUCAGAGGGGGGGUAGAAUUCCACGUGUAGCAGUGAAAUGCGUAGAGAUGUGGAGGAAUACCGAUGGCGAAGGCAGCCCCCUGGGAUAACACUGACGCUCAUGCACGAAAGCGUGGGGAGCAAACAGG